UACGUAGGGCGCAAGCGUUGUCCGGAAUUAUUGGGCGUAAAGAGCUCGUAGGCGGUCUGUCGCGUCGGCUGUGAAAACCCGGGGCUCAACCCCGGGCCUGCAGUCGAUACGGGCAGACUAGAGUGCGGUAGGGGAGACUGGAAUUCCUGGUGUAGCGGUGAAAUGCGCAGAUAUCAGGAGGAACACCGGUGGCGAAGGCGGGUCUCUGGGCCGUAACUGACGCUAAGGAGCGAAAGCGUGGGGAGCGAACAGG
rnacentral:rRNA from 1 species